rnacentral:rRNA from 1 species
GAUGAACGCUGGCGGCGUGCCUAAUACAUGCAAGUCGAGCGAACGGACGAGAAGCUUGCUUCUCUGAUGUUAGCGGCGGACGGGUGAGUAACACGUGUAUAACCUACCUAUAAGACUGGGAUAACUUCGGGAAACCGGAGCUAAUACCGGAUAAUAUUUUGAACCGCAUGGUUCAAAAGUGAAAGACGGUCUUGCUGUCACUUAUAGAUGGAUCCGCGCUGCAUUAGCUAGUUGGUAAGGUAACGGCUUACCAAGCCAACGAUGCAUAGCCGACCUGAGAGGGUGAUCGGCCACACUGGAACUGAGACACGGUCCAGACUCCUACGGGAGGCAGCAGUAGGGAAUCUUCCGCAAUGGGCGAAAGCCUGACGGAGCAACGCCGCGUGAGUGAUGAAGGUCUUCGGAUCGUAAAACUCUGUUAUUAGGGAAGAACAUAUGUGUAAGUAACUGUGCACAUCUUGACAGUACCUAAUCAGAAAGCCACGGCUAACUACGUG